CUUUCUGUUUCUUUGCUUGGCAUUACCCGAUGAUUAAUUUUGAAGAGUUACUGGAACAAUUACAAUUCAACUUGGUCAAAAAAGUUCUCACAAAUAGAAGCUGACUGUCAUUUAUUCAGUCAGUUCCUGUUGGCUGAGUGUUGGCUCUAGGACUGGCACCAGGCACUGGAAUUAAACAUUCUGGACUCCAGAGGGCCAUGUAAAUGCUUCCUGAAGGAUGCAGAGGAAGAUUCGAACUGGAAGAAAACCCUAAAAUGACAUGGACAGCUAACUAGCUAGAUGGAUGGAUUGAUGGGAUUUAUUAUGGGAAUUGGCUCACAUGAUUAUGGAGGCUGAGAAGUCCCAUGACAGGCCAUCUGCAAGCUGGAGACCCUGGGAUGCUGGCAGCACGGCUCAGUCCAAAUCCAGAAGCCUCAGCACCAGGAAAGCCAAUGGUAAUUCUCAGUCUGAUGCCAAAGGCCUGAGAACCAGAGCAGUGGGUGGGGCACUGGUGCGAGUCCUGAAGUCCAAAGGUCAGGGAGCUUGGAGUUCUGAUGUUCAAGAACAGGAGAAGAAGAGUAUCCUGGCUCCAGGAGAGAGAAAACAAACAAACAAACAAACAAACAAACAAAAAAACCUGCCUUUUUUUUCUGCCCAUUUUGUUUGAUCCAGACCACAGUCAAUUGGAUGGUGCCUGCCCCCCUGGAGGGCAGAUCUGCCCCCUUCAGUCCACAGACUCCCACACCAGUCUCCUCCAGAAAAACCCUCACAGACACACCCCAAAGUGAGGCUUGACCAACUCUCUAGGGAUUCUUUAAUUCAGGCACCUGAAAUUAACCAUCACACCCAGGAUCCAGCAGGCAUCCCUCCAGCCAGCCCCUGAGGUGGGAUUCAUUGCCCUUAUUCCACCCUAGAGAUGCAGAAGGUGAAGGCUGGAAUGGUUCAGUUAUGGCUCAGCGCCAAGCAACCAGCAUUGAGGGGAGCUGGGACGCCUGUGGGUGGCCUGGGAUGAGCUCCCGAACAUCUUACAUCCCGCAAGAGGACGGAGCAUCCCUGAUCUGAGAGUGAACAGAAGGCCUGGCACCAGGCCAAGGGCAUCAUCAAGGGAAAGAGGACUUCGCUCUGCUUCUGUUGAGAAGUGUUCUUUGUACCCAACGGUACAAAGACCAGGGAUUUUGGUGACACAGCAGCCCGAGCCCAGCCUGGGUGCCUAGGAUGCAGCUUAGCAGGUCAACUCUCAGUACUGCCAGGACUUCCCCCUCGGAAACCUGCGGACUGGCAGUGUUCUACCAGGAGGGGGCCAACUCGACAAAAGCAGAGAGGGUGAAACAUCCUGCACCAGAUCAUUUCAGACAUCAGCGAUGGAUUGGUUGAUUAGCAGUGUUUUUGCUGAGACUGAUGGUGGACUCCCUGCCCGAGAUAUCCUGGAUUCCUUCAGGUCAAAAGUCAGCAGCUACACUGGAGCUUUCCUGACCCCCAUGUCCAGGUACAAAGAAAACCCAUCACCUGAGAGCCAAUGGCCUCCAGAGCUAGUGUGGCAGAGGGGCUUGGCUCACGUGUCAUCCUGCUUCUUUCUUGCUGUGUGACUUUGGGCUAGUAGCUUCACCUCUCUGAGCCUUGAUUCCCCCACAGAUGAUCAAACAUUUCUAGUGCCAGAUGCUGUUCUAGUAACUGUGUACCUACUGCUUCAAUCCUCAUAACACUCCUAUGAGGCUGGCAUCAUUGUCUGUAGACCUGUUUACAGAAGAGGCCACAGAAGCCCCAUGAGGGAAAGGGAUUUGCCUCAUGUCACAGUGAACAAGGGGAGGAGACAGGAUCGGAACUCAGGGAGCCUGGGCCUGGGUCCUGCACUGCUCACAACAGGCUCCAACUGCCCUGGUAUGAAGACAAGGGCUGUAAGAAUGAAGGCACACAAAAUGCCAAGUGAGAGCUCUGGCCACGGUCCCUCUCACCAUCUCCGAAGGCAAACCCCGCCGCUGUGGCCUUGGCUUUGCCGGAAGCUGAUUCCAUGCUGCUCCCCCAAGGGACCCCGAAGCUGCAGGUGUGCCAGGACAUUCCUGGCCGACAAGUGCGGGGUCACAGGAGGGCUUGAGAGCAUGUCUCUGUGUCCAUCAGCUCCGUGUGUGUGUGUGCUCAUGUACAGGGUUUAAUUAAUGAAAUGAUGAAAACCUGGAAAAAUAUGUAUU